UUGGCUGGUCUCCUCCUCCCUCCCGCCGCCGCCCCCUCCUCCCUCCCACUCCCCGCCCUCCCCGCGGCGGCUGGCGUCGAGAAAGUACAGUAAAAAGUCCAAGUGCAGCCGCUCGGCGCACAAGAUGGGGUCCGGCUCCUCCAGCUACCGGCCCAAGGCCAUCUACUUGGACAUCGAUGGGCGCAUUCAGAAGGUGGUUUUCAGCAAAUACUGCAACUCCAGUGACAUCAUGGAUCUGUUCUGCAUUGCCACCGGCCUGCCUCGGAACACAACCAUCUCUCUGCUGACCGCGGAUGACGCCAUGGUGUCCAUCGACCCCACCAUGCCUGCCAAUUCAGAACGGUAAGCGGCAGCCAGCCGGC